CAGCAGCCGCGGGAACACGAAGGGGGCUAGCGUUGCUCGGAAUUACUGGGCGUAAAGGGAGCGUAGGCGGACAUUUAAGUCAGGGGUGAAAUCCCAGAGCUCAACUCUGGAACUGCCUUUGAUACUGGGUGUCUUGAGUGUGAUAGAGGUAUGUGGAACUCCGAGUGUAGAGGUGAAAUUCGUAGAUAUUCGGAAGAACACCAGCGGCGAAGGCGACAUACUGGAUCAUUACUGACGCUGAGGCUCGAAAGCGUGGGGAGCAAACAGGAUUAGAUACCCCGGUAGUCCCUGUCUCUUAUAC
rnacentral:rRNA from 1 species